rnacentral:lncRNA from 1 species
AACAACAGCAUGAGGCGUAUCUCAGGCAGUCAUAGUGCGAGCGAUAGCCGGUCGAGCGCUCCAAUAAUCUAAGCCUGCCGCUCAGUGCACUAGCAGAUCGA